AGUUGUUCUAUUGUUCAGUUGUUCUAAGUUGUUAAGUGCUAAACUGCUAACCCUUAUUCUAGUCUUUCUAAAUUUCAGAUCUGAUAAAAAACUGAGAAGUGACUAAGUGAGAGAGAGACCGAGAGGCAAUUGUGUAGACUUCAUACGAGAGAGUCCUCAAGUUUCUUUGAUCGAUCGACCACGCUGUCCACGCCGAGUCGCCUGACGUCUCACGUCUGUCACUCUGUGUAGCUUCUUCUUCCCUACAGGUUUCAAUCGACCACGCUAUCCACGCCGAUCUACCUUUAUCCCUUCGUUUUCCAGUGUAUACCACAUUAUUAAUUUUUACCACAUCUAUUUUGUGCAUAUAUACCACAAAAUUGACAAAUUAAACUCUUUUUAUGGUACAUAUGGAGUAUAAACUUCUUUUUAGAAAAUAAUUUCUGUAAAAUAAUAUUCCCUUAAUUGAGGUUAGGGAUGUAACGGGGGCAGUGUUGGUCCGAUUUAGGAAGUUUGUUUUGUUUUUUUUUGUCUUGAAAAAGAAGACUGGGCCGAGCCGUUAUCGAAAUGAAUAACCAAAAAAAUGGAUCAAUAAAGCCUAAUAUGGUGGCGCAGGGUAGUUUGGAUUGACAAGCCGGGCAGGGUAAGUCAGGUUCAAGGUUCAUAUAUCACAACCCAGUCCAAGUCUAUAAUGUUUUCACCUGAUAUUUUUGAAGAAGGC
rnacentral:lncRNA from 1 species